GCUCGAGCUCUGCUGGACCCGGGAACGUCGGCGCCGAGGGACGAGGUACCUUCGGUUGGACCGACAUGGAGACGGUGCCUGCACAUCUCAGCUCUGUGAUGAAACACCCUGCAGAAGCUCGAUUCACGAAAGCUGAAGGGUCAAGAGAUGGACUUGAUUCACUGGAGAAAAGAAGGGGAUGGAAGAGAGGACAUGAUGUGCAGCUGGAUGAAGAUGACCUGCUUGACACUGAUGAGGUCUACUGGGGCUCUGAGGGUCGCAGGGAACCGGAGCCUAACCCAGCAACGCA